rnacentral:tRNA from 1 species
UGAUUCUUUGGCCUUAGGGGCGAUUUCAUUAUCAAUGAAAUUACGGAGUGUGCUCUGUAGCAUCUGUUCCUCUUCUGACAGUAUCAC